CGAUCUAUAACAUGAUGCUAAGAUGCCUGAACAAUAAAGCAGGAAAUAUGCCCAACAUAAAUAUGCAGAUUAUGCAAGUUCUUUGUUCUUUAUUCUUUAUUCUUUACACUUUGCUCUUUAUUCUUUAUUCUUUGCUCUUUGUUCUUUAUUCUUUGCUCUUUAUUCUUUAAUCUCACGGCUAACCCGGGGUUUUCGCCACAUUAAACUUGCUUCACAUUAAGUCCAUCAUCGCAGGAACUCACCCGCUAGGACCGUCCUCGGGUUUACUCCAACCCGUGAUGCGAAAAUUCCGGAGCGCAUCGCCUGAGGGGGUGCGACCGCCCUCAAGCGUGGAACUCAUAGCAAGUAUGAUCGAAUCCUUAACUCUAAGGAUUAUAAGUUCAAUCAUGACAUUACACUAGCUCUAGUGUUCUUUACAUCACUUUAUGUUGCUAACUCUAGCAAUCAUUAUUCUUUAC
rnacentral:lncRNA from 1 species